CUCAGGAUUGCCAUCCUCGGGUUUCUCCACUGCAACUCAGAGAGUCCUAGGGCGUCUGUACCUCUCCUACUUUGGGGACACUAACAGAAUAAAGGUGGAAAUGGCAUUCAGAAGGAAGUUAAAAAAGGAGGACAACAAAGGAGCACAGUCUGGAUUCCUCACAACAUGAGAAAAUUAAAGCUGAUAGAUUAUAUAAUGAAGUCCAUGCUUUUGUCACUGUUCAGUUUGUGGAUGAGAAAUGAAAGGGGCUAACUUUUCUUGCUGAUGAGCUACAUGUAUUUUGUCUGUUUAU